CAAUGUCCCAGUCCCUGGAGAGGUCUCACCCCUCACUGCAAUGCACUCAGAGCCUAUCAGUUGAUUCUACCCCAGGACCAUCCCAAUAAACAGAGACAUAAAAACCACAGCUUCCAAAAUAUAUAAAGGACUCAACCACAAAAAAAAUGAAUAACCCCGAUCAAAAAAUGAACAGAGGAUCUGAACAGACAUUUUUCCAAAGAAGAUAUACAGGUGGCCAACAGGCACAUGAAAAGAUGUUCAACAUUACUAAUUAUUAGGGAAAUGCAAAUCAAAACUACAAUGAAAUAUCACCUUACACUCAUCAGAAGGACCAUUAGUAAAAAGACAAGAAAUAACAAGUGUUGGAGAGGAUGUGAAGAAAAGGGAACUCUCAUACAUUUCUGGUGGGAAUGUAAACUGGUGUAGCCAGUAUGGAAAACAGUAUGGAGAUUCCUUGAAAAAUUAAGAAUAUAACUACCAUAUGACCCAGCUAUCCCAUUUCUGAAUAAUUAUCCAAAGAAUAUGAAAACACUAACUCAAAAAGAUACAUGCACCUCUAUGUUCAUUGCAGCAUUAUUCAUAAUAGCCAAGACUUUGAAGCAACCCAAGUGCCCAUCAAUGGAUGAACUGAUAAAGAAGGUGUGAUAAGAACUGAUAAAGAACACACACACACACACACACACACACACACACACACAAUGGAAUACCAUUUGGCCAUAAAAAAGACAAAAUUGUGCCAUUUGUGACAACACGGAUGGACCUUGAGGGUUAUUAGGCUAAGUGAAUCGCAAGUUAGACAGAAAGACAAAUACCAUAUGAUUUCACUCAUAUGUGGAAGAUAAACAAACAAACACAUAGAUAAAGAGAACAGACUGGUGGUUCCCAGAGGGCAAGGGGGUAGGGGGAGGGCAAAAAGGGUAAAUGGGCACACGUGUGUGGUGACAGGUAAAAACUAGACUCUUGGUGAUGAAUGCCAUACAGGACCCCUGAAAUUUCUAAGUUGCUAUACUAACUGGCUCCCGGCCAAGACUGAUAAAUGAGCGCUUGCAUCUUUUAAUUUUUAACAUUUUAUUUUGAGCUAAAUUUAAACCCAGAAAAAAGUUGCAAAAUAGUUUAAAGUCUCCUUAUGUUCCUCACCCUACUUCCCCUAAUGUUAAUAUCUUACAUGACCAAAUCAUUAAAUAUAUUGACUAUAUAGAAUGUAAAAACAAAGAAGGGUCAACGUAGAACUUUUAUAGCAUACACUGAUCUCUUUUGACGCUGCAGAAGUCACUUUGGGUGAAACCGAAUGAUCAAUUCAGAGAUCCUACCUUUUUUUAAAUGUGCCACAAGUGAAUUUCACUCCACACUAAUUUUUCUAAACCAAUAUAAAGAUAACUCCCAACUCCAACUCUUCAAGGUAUGUGAGUUAUUAUGUCAGGCAUGUUUUAAGCCUAUUCCCCUUUUCCUUCCUAUUAGAGUGGCCUAGAAAUUUAAAUAAACAUUUGUGGUAUUAAAAGAAAUGAGGGAAGGAGCUUCAUCAUUCAGUGCAGGAUGAGACCCCCUACCAUGCCCACCCCUGCGCCCGAGGGGCCCACUGAGGACAGGCAGCUCUGCUCUGUGGGUGCAGAGCGGGGCACAGUAGACUUUGUGGAGGCCGGGAGCAUCAACCUCACGUCCCGACCCCUCCAUGCCUCUGCUAGCUGCUCCCCAAUGUCCUCCCACCUCUCUCCUGCGGGCCACCAGGUACUGCAGGCUAAUCUGGAUGUGGGCUUACCAAACUCCGUGUCCUUACACAUGGGGGAAUCGCCCCUUCCCUCAGGGCCAGCCACUCUCACCUCUGCUUCUCCAAUUAUCCCCAUUCAUCCUCACUGCUUCACAGUGCAUCUCCCAUCUUCAAGGUCCACUGAGAGCUUUCCUCUCAGUAAACCAAAACAGAAAGCUCUUCUCUCAGCCCCAGGGUAUCACGGGGAAUGAUGGGCUAAACUCAGUCCAGUUCUUCCCUCAUAGCAUACCUGUAAUCCAUGCAUCUUCAAAGGCUGAAUUACAUUCAUACAAACAUUAAGUAUGUUAAAUUGUAUUAGUCCCUGAGAGAUUCCAUAGAUAAUUUGUUUAAAAAAAAAGUUCUACAUUUUAAACUUCCAAAACUAUGCAGAAGAAAAGAAGAUUCAUGUUAAAUUUUCAAACUUUUGGUUCAGGGGACAGAAAGGAGGGAAGAAAGAAAGCCUGAUAUUAUAAGGAGGGAAGGUAGUAGCCUUAUCAUUAUCGUAGGGAACAUCACAUAUUAAGAAACCCUGAUGCCUCCAAAUCUCUACAGACGAAGCUGUCCCAUAUUGCAUGUUGUUGUGUGUUAAUAUUUAAUGGUGUCUUAAUUUUACAGACAAGACAGUCACUAAUUUAUUUACUUCAGGUUUGGCAAAGAUGGGAAACACUUGCAACCAUCCUUUAUUCACUUGCUGUGGACAACCGAGCGGAUGAUCACAGCGGUCUGCAGUGUGGAAUCCUAGGGAACUCCCAGUCUUCUCAGCAGGAUGCUCUGAGCACCCACCAUUUGUGGCCUGCAGUUCUUAAUUGUCCCUGCUGGAUCUCUGUGUUUGCCUUGAGGAAGGCUUCCUC